rnacentral:rRNA from 1 species
UACGGAGGGUGCAAGCGUUAUCCGGAUUCACUGGGUUUAAAGGGUGCGUAGGCGGGGAGGUAAGUCAGCGGUGAAAUCCCCGAGCUUAACUUGGGAACUGCCAUUGAUACUAUCUCUCUUGAAUACCUUGGAGGUGAGCGGAAUAUGUCAUGUAGCGGUGAAAUGCUUAGAUAUGACAUAGAACACCAAUUGCGAAGGCAGCUCACUACACGGUCAUUGACACUGAGGCACGAAAGCGUGGGGAUCAAACAGG